rnacentral:tRNA from 1 species
GUUUAAAUAGUAUAUAUAAUACAUUACUUUUUCAUAGUAGGGAUGAUAGCUCUUUAAAUA